rnacentral:rRNA from 1 species
GUGCUUGAGUAGCUUACACAUGCAGCUUAAUUAAUUUGUAUUUGUAUAAAAAGAUAGCGAACGGGUGAGUGUAACAUAGAAACUAACCUAAAAAUUAGCUAGAAACUUUAAAAUUUAUUUGUUUUUAGAAAGGUCUAUGCAAAAUUAAGUAGUUGGUUGAGUUAAAGCCUACCAAGCUUAUGAUUUUUAGUUGGUCUAUGCGGAUGAACAACCACAUUGGAAUUGAGAUACGGUCCAAACUCUAUGUUAAGAGGCAGCAGUGGGGAAUAUUGGGCAAUGAAUAACAGUUUGACCCAGCUAAAUCAUAUGUAUGAUGAAGAUAUGUAAUUGUAAAGUACUUUUAUUAAAUUAUAAUGAUGAUUGAUUAUUGAAUAAGCCCUGGCUAAUUUCGUGCCAGCAGCCGCGGUAAAACGGGAAGGGCUAGUGUUAUUCAGAUUAACUGGGCGUAAAGCAUACGUAAGCGGAAAAUUAACUAAUAAUUUAAAUCUUGAAUUUUGUUUUUAAGAGUAUUAUUAAAUUUAUUUUCUUGAGUUUAAGAAAAGGUUACAGAAUUUUAAGUGUAAUGGUUAAAUAUAUUGAUAUUUAAAGGAAUUUCUAAAGCGAAAGCAGUAAUCUAGAUUAUAACUGACGCUGAGGUAUGAAAGCAUGGGGAGUAAAGAGGAUUAGAUACCCUUGUAAUCCAUGCCUUCAACGAUGAGUGUUUAUUUUUGAAUUAAUUGUAAGAAUCAGAGAUGAAGUUAACACAUUAAACACUUCGCCAGGGAACUAUGACCGCAAGGUUAAAACUUAAAGGAAUUGACGGGGAUCUACACACGCAGUGGAGCAUGUGGUUUAAAUUGACAGUACG